rnacentral:misc_RNA from 1 species
GAUUCAGUAAAACUUGACAAUCAUUUUGACAAAGCCUGUAUUUUGUUACACAACUAAGUGAUCACACACUUUACCCUAACUCAAGCACAGACUUGACUCCUUAAUGCAGUAAGUGCUAUUUGUUGGGGUAGUGUAGCUGAUUUUGCCAUUCUUUUUCCUUCACACAUUUCAUGAAGACAGACAUGUUGCAUCAUUAAUUGCUGAAAAAUUCCCAGUUUGAGAGUUGGUCCUACCUAUUCCCCUAACCUGAGCAUUGACUGGACUGUUGAAUACAGUAAGUGCUACUUGUUGGGGCAGUUUUAAGUGACAACAACAACUAAAUGAAUCAAAAGCC